ensembl:rRNA 5S_rRNA 5S ribosomal RNA
GUCUACGGCCAUACCACUCUGAACGCGCCAGAUCUCGUCUGAUCUCGGAAGCUAAGCAGGGUCAGGCCUGGUUAGUACUUGGAUGGGGGGAAGAGAACACAGUACUUCUGGGCU